rnacentral:misc_RNA from 1 species
AAGUCGUAACAAGGUUUCCGUAGGUGAACCUGCGGAAGGAUCAUUACAGUGUUGCGGGGCCACAUUGCGUGGUGCCCGCAUGAAUGCAUAUGGCUCCUUCGGGAGCUGUGUGUUGGCCAGUGUUUUGAACAUGAUCGAGUGAGUGUGUUAAUGCUUGGCGGGAGAAUGCAGUGCCUCUCUCUCUGAGAGAUGCUGUCAUGCCUGCCAGCAGUAUUCCACCCCAAACCACAAUAACCGAGUUUCUGAUCACAACAUACAAAGCAGUUAUUACAACUGCCGGCAACGGAUCACUCGGCUCUC